CUCGCCUACCGCGCCUCCGCCUGCCCGCCCCCGCCGGCCAAGGCUGGGCUGCGGGAGGCGGCCGGGCGGCCCCGAGCUUCGCUAGGGCGACCAAAACAAAGGCAGCAUCCGGGGCUGGGUGGAUGCAAACAACCAUGAAAGACUGGGUUCUCGCUCUCCCCGGCUCUGCUGCUGCUGCUGCUGCUGCCGCCGCCGCCGCUGCUCCUCCUCCUCCUGCCGCCGCCGCGAGGGCUCCGCUGUGAGGGGGAAGCAGGGGCGCAGCUGCUGGGCGUGCAUCCGAAAGGUGAGAGCCAGAGAGCGAGCGGAGGGGGCGGGCAGGCCACGAAAAUGUCCUCGGCCGUGGGGCCCCGCGGUCCUCGCCCACCCACGGUGCCUCCCCCCAUGCAAGAGCUGCCCGACCUGAGCCACCUGACCGAAGAGGAGAGGAACAUUAUCAUGGCAGUGAUGGACCGGCAGAAAGAAGAGGAGGAAAAAGAAGAAGCCAUGCUCAAGUGUGUUGUCAGGGACAUGGCGAAGCCUGCUGCCUGCAAAACACCAAGAAAUGCUGAAAACCAGCCCCACCAACCUUCACCGAGAUUGCAUCAACAGUUUGAAAGCUAUAAGGAACAAGUGAGAAAAAUAGGGGAAGAAGCACGGCGUUACCAGGGCGAGCACAAAGACGAUGCUCCGACUUGUGGAAUCUGUCAUAAAACAAAGUUUGCUGAUGGGUGCGGUCAUCUCUGCUCCUAUUGUCGCACUAAGUUCUGUGCGCGCUGCGGAGGCCGCGUGUCUCUACGGUCAAACAACGAGGACAAAGUGGUUAUGUGGGUAUGCAAUUUAUGUCGAAAGCAACAAGAAAUCUUAACCAAAUCUGGGGCAUGGUUCUUUGGAAGUGGCCCUCAGCAGACAAGUCAGGAUGGAACCCUGAGUGAUACAGCUACAGGUGCUGGCUCUGAGGUACCAAGAGAAAAGAAAGCACGACUCCAAGAGCGAUCCCGGUCUCAGACACCCCUGAGCACAGCAGCUGCCUCCUCCCAGGAUGCUGCUCCUCCCAGCGCACCACCAGACAGGAGCAAAGGGGCUGAUCCCUCGCAGCAAGCCUUGGGGCCUGAACAGAAGCAGGCUUCAUCCAGGUCUAGAAGUGAACCUCCUAGAGAGAGAAAGAAGACCCCAGGGCUUUCCGAGCAGAAUGGCAAAGGAGCACUGAAGAGCGAGCGGAAACGCGUUCCAAAGACCUCAGCGCAGCCCGUGGAGGGGGCCGUCGAAGAACGGGAGCGCAAAGAAAGGCGGGAAAGCCGAAGGCUUGAGAAAGGGCUAUCACAGGAUUACCCAGACACGCCGGAAAAACGGGAUGAGGGCAAAGCGGCGGAUGAGGAAAAGCAAAGAAAAGAGGAGGACUAUCAGACCAGGUACCGCAGCGACCCGAACCUGGCUCGGUACCCGGUGAAACCGCCGCCUGAGGAGCAGCAGAUGCGCAUGCACGCCCGGGUGUCCCGCGCCAGGCACGAGCGGCGCCACAGCGACGUGGCGCUCCCGCGCACCGAGGCGGGCGCGGCGCUGGCGGAGGGCAAGGUCGGCAAACGCGCGCCGGCGGCGGCCAGGGCCUCGCCGCCGGACUCGCCGCGGGCUUACUCGGCUGAGAGGACUGCGGAGACCAGGGCGCCCGGCGCCAAGCAGCUAACGAACCACAGCCCGCCGGCGCCCAGACAUGGGCCGGUUCCCGCAGAAGCCCCGGAGCUCAAAGCCCAGGAGCCCCUCAGGAAGCAGAGCCGCCUGGACCCCAGCUCGGCAGUCCUCAUGCGGAAGGCCAAGCGCGAGAAGGUGGAGACCAUGCUGCGGAACGACUCUCUGAGCUCAGACCAGUCCGAGUCGGUGCGGCCGUCCCCGCCCAAGCCGCACCGGUCCAAGAGGGGCGGCAAGAAGCGGCAGAUGUCGGUGAGCAGCUCUGAGGAGGAGGGCGUGUCGACGCCCGAGUACACCAGCUGCGAAGACGUGGAGCUGGAGAGCGAGAGCGUCAGCGAGAAAGGUGAUUUGGAUUAUUACUGGUUGGAUCCUGCCACGUGGCAUAGCCGGGAGACAUCACCUAUUAGUUCGCAUCCUGUAACGUGGCAGCCAUCUAAAGAGGGGGACCGAUUAAUUGGACGUGUUAUUCUUAACAAGAGAACAACCAUGCCCAAAGACUCAGGUGCAUUGCUGGGUCUGAAAGUUGUUGGAGGAAAAAUGACUGACUUAGGACGACUUGGUGCUUUCAUCACCAAAGUAAAGAAGGGUAGCCUAGCAGAUGUAGUUGGACACCUAAGAGCAGGGGAUGAAGUUCUAGAAUGGAAUGGUAAACCCCUGCCGGGAGCUACAAAUGAAGAAGUUUACAACAUUAUUUUAGAAUCAAAAUCAGAACCUCAAGUUGAAAUUAUUGUUUCAAGGCCUAUUGGUGACAUUCCCCGGAUUCCUGAGAGCUCCCACCCUCCACUGGAGUCCAGUUCAAGUUCCUUUGAAUCUCAGAAGAUGGAAAGGCCUUCCAUUUCUGUUAUUUCUCCAACAAGUCCUGGAGCUCUAAAAGAUGCCCCACAAGUCUUACCAGGGCAACUUUCUGUGAAGUUGUGGUAUGAUAAAGUGGGACACCAGCUGAUUGUAAAUGUUCUGCAAGCAACAGAUCUACCUGCUAGAGUAGAUGGGCGUCCUCGAAAUCCCUAUGUAAAAAUGUAUUUUCUUCCAGAUAGAAGUGAUAAAAGUAAAAGGAGGACCAAAACAGUAAAGAAAAUACUAGAACCAAAAUGGAAUCAAACUUUUGUCUAUUCACAUGUACAUCGUAGAGAUUUUAGAGAACGAAUGUUAGAAAUAACUGUGUGGGACCAACCAAGAGUGCAAGAAGAAGAAAGUGAAUUUCUUGGAGAGAUCCUCAUAGAAUUGGAGACAGCGCUUUUAGAUGAUGAACCGCAUUGGUAUAAACUUCAGACACAUGAUGAGUCUUCACUACCUCUGCCUCAGCCAUCACCUUUCAUGCCAAGGCGACAUAUUCAUGGAGAAAGCUCUAGCAAAAAGCUACAAAGAUCUCAGCGAAUCAGUGAUAGUGACAUCUCAGAUUAUGAGGUUGAUGAUGGUAUUGGCGUAGUUCCUCCAGUAGGCUAUAGGUCUAGUGCUAGAGAAAGUAAAACUACAACAUUAACUGUGCCAGAACAGCAAAGAACAACUCAUCACCGCUCACGUUCAGUAUCUCCUCAUCGCGGCAAUGAUCAGGGAAAGCCGCGUUCACGUUUACCAAAUGUGCCAUUACAGAGGAGUUUAGAUGAAAUUCAUCCAACAAGAAGGUCACGUUCUCCAACCAGACACCAUGAUGCCUCCCGAAGUCCAGUUGAUCAUAGAACCAGAGAUGUGGAUAGUCAGUAUUUAUCAGAACAAGACAGUGAGCUUCUUAUGCUGCCCAGAGCAAAACGAGGACGAAGUGCAGAAUGCCUACAUACUACCAGGUAAAUACAGGGAUUUGGUAAUGGUGACUGUGUGUGAUGACUCUCUUUCCAUUCUAUUAUUCUUCCGUCUCUCCCUUAGUGGUAUUAUUACAAGCAGGUCAAAUAAAUUUCCCAAGUAUUUGAAAUUUGUUUUGUUUUAUAUUGAGGUUAUGGAAAAGGUUCCAAAUAUAUUUCAGUUCUGAUUCAGGCAGACUACUUUGCCAACUGUAGAUUCAAAAAUCCAGAGACCAGUGGGCCUCUCUGGGACUGUUUGCAUUCCUAAAACUGAGGAACCAGUUUCUGCAAUUAAAAUUCUAAAUGCUCACUGUGAGUGCCCCCAAGCUUCCCACACAUAUUCCUGUCUAGUCACAAGAGGUCUAAUCUGUGUAUGGCAGUGUCAUUGUUUCAUAAUUGUAAGUUUGCUCUGUUUUAGCCUUUUUUAUUUCCUUUUAGAAUUUAUUGUAGUUUAUAUUCUGUUUGCUUUUGAUAAAAUCUUUAACAGUUCACUUUUAAUGGCUGAGCUUCAGCUUCUUUCUUGAUGAAAAGUGAAGAUGUUCAACCUGAUCUUAACUAUCCUAGCCCAUCAGUUGUCAGAAAUGCUGCAGUACAAACUUUCCCACAAAGGCAUGUAACAAUAUGAAUGCCUCUUUAGAAGCGACAAAAGAUAUAAUUUUUGCUUCUAAAUUGGAGCUUAGAGCCUGAUGCUUUAUGUUAAUCUCAUUACAUCUUUAAUUUCAUAUCCAAAGUAAAACUUCUUACAGAUUACUCAUGGAACAUAUUCUAUAAAUAUUUAAUGUAUAUUUGAAAUGAAUAUAGAAGUUAAGGAAGUAGUAAGUCAGUGAAACAAACUAACACAUAAUAAUUGAACUCAAAUAUUUUAGCCAAUAAAAAGUAAGACGAAAGAGAAGGAAAGAGGUAUUACCGCAGUACUUGGGAUGCAAAGACAAAUUCAUGAUUUAUUAUGUCUAUGUGUAAUAUGUAGUUCUGCCCAAUAAUGCAAACAAAAUUGGGCUAAUAAAAAUUGUUUGACCUUUUUACAGUCUGAAGUUACACUACUCAUAACUACUGCCAUGUUUGCUUGGAGUGCCACAGGAAAAAAUCGAGGAAAUAUUAGUUCUGCUUGCUGAGAAAAAAAUGUAAAAUCACACAUAUUGUAAAAACCUACUGAAAGUCAAAGCAUGAACUAUCCAGGUUUAUUAUUACUUGUUCUUCUUGACAAACAGUUUCUUAAAAGAAUGGUUUAUUUACUAAUUCUGAAAGUUUUCUCACACUCCUCUUGAUGUGACUAAAGCUUCAAAAGAAAUAAAAAACAUGCACACAAAACAAACACAAAAAAAAUCCUUAUAUUUUAAGCUACUUAGUGUGUGCCUGGCACUCAGUGUGUGAAUAUUUCUAGGAUACUCACACCAGUGGUCUAAAUAUAAUAACUAAAAAUAUUUUUUCUUCCCCUUAUUUUGUACUUGUAAAAUAUUAUAUACUUAUAUAAUAUUAUAUAAUAGUUGCAUCAUUUUAUAUAAUCUUAUCCUUAAGAUUGGUGCUUUGCUAAUAAUUGUGAGCUCCACAAGUCCUAUUUAAUAGUCUCUGUAUGUUGACUUUGCAUUUCCUGAUUUAAGCAAAUAAUCAUAUUUGUAUGUAUACAAUUUAAAAAUAGAUGAGUAUUCAGCGAGGCAGAUAACGUCCUGUGGACAAGUACUACGACAAUAAGAUAGGGAAUGGAAGCUGAGCUAGCCAAAUGUGUCAGUGCGAAACAUAUGUCAACAGUGUCUUUUCUCCUUCCUGUCUUUCAUUCUCUAAUGUGUAAUGCUAAAAGUAUGGAGAUAGAGAUAACAUGAGUUCAAAAAUAUGUGCGUGUAUGUAUAUAUAAUCUCUUCUGUGUUUAUAUUCAUGUAUUUAUAAAAACAUUAAUUUAUAUCUGAAUAAAAAUGAAUUUCAAAAUGUGUACAUAUAAAUAACCACAACUUUAUAUGGAUAUAUCAAUAAUAUAGUUUGGUUUCAUAUAAACUAUGGACACUUAUUAUUUAUAUAACUAUCCAUGGCUAAAAUCUAAAGCUUUCAAAAUACAUCAUACCAUGUUCACUUAGGACUUUUAAAAAUAAAAUCUGAGGAUUUACUAGUCUCUAGUAAACAUAAGGAAAAUAACAUUUAUUUAAUAACAAGCACAGUGUUAAAUAUUUAAUGUACUUUGUCAAUUUCCUGACAGUAAUUAUAUGUUAUGAAUAUUAUUAACCUGAUUUUAGAGAUGAGGAAAAAAGCUAAGAAAGUUUAUUUGAUGACUAAUAAAGUAAGGAUUCAAAAUCAGGUCUAUUUGAUAUCUUCUGCUUAACUAGUUUUUCCAAAAAUAUGAAAACUUGUCCUAUGAGAUAUUUCACCAAUAAGAGUUUUUGUGAGUCAAAUACAUUUUGGAAACUUUGCAACUGAAAGUUUCUACCUUGAAAUUUAAUACACACAGCAUAUUAAAGUCAUGUUCUAAAGAAAUCUGUAUGUUUAGUUUCUUUUCUCCCAAAUUAUUUAAUUUCCCAACCUUUUUUUAGUAAAACGUGUCUCGAGGAAGUGGUAGUAUAGAGAAAAUGCUAUAGUUGCCUUACUGUAUCCUACUGUGUCCUAAAUAUUGUGUACAUGUUACCACACACCCCUGUUAAGUGGAAGUUAUUUCCCACAUUUUGUGGAUGUAGAAACAGGCUUGGAGACUUAAUCGAAUUAUCCAGGUCACACGCAAUAAGUGGCAAAGCCAAGGCAGGAACUUGAACAUUCAGACUAUAAAUUUUGUGCUAUUUUCUGGCUCUUUCCCAUUCUAUGUUGAUCCCAUUCUUGAAAAAAAAAAUCACUUUUGAAGCAAUGCUUAGAAAAGUUUUAUAGCAACCUAUUACUAAAGAUAUUUGCCUGAGGUUAGGAGUUGAAGACUCGACUGUCUAGAAAGGAGGCUAAAUCCUUAGUUUCAGUAAAAUUUGUCCUCAACUUGUACUUAAUAAGGAGGAAGCUGAAGCGGGCAGAUCACUUGAGGUCAGGAGUUAAGAGACCAGUGUGGCCAAUAUGGUGAAACCCCGUCUCUACUAAAAAACACACAACACACACACACCACACCACAACACACACACACCACACACACACACCACACACACACAAAUUAGGUGGGCAUGGUGGCAGGUGCUUGUAAUCCCAGCUACUUGGGAGGCUGAGAGAGGAGAUUUGCUUGAACACAGGAGGCAGAGGUUGCAGUGAGCCAAGAUCACACCAUAGCACUCCAGCCUAGACAACAAGAGUGAGACUCUGUCUCAAAAAAGAAAA
rnacentral:sRNA from 1 species